AUACGUAGGGGGCGAGCGUUGUCCGGAGUUACUGGGCGUAAAGCGCGCGUAGGCGGUUCUUUAAGUGAUUGGUGAAAUCCCCGGGCUCAACCCGGGGUGGUCUGGUCAUACUGGGGAACUGGAGUGCGGGAGAGGAGAGUGGAACUCCUGGUGUAGCGGUGAUAUGCGUAGAGAUCAGGAAGAACACCCGUGGCGAAGGCGACUCUCUGGACCGCAACUGACGCUGAGGCGCGAAAGCCAGGGGAGCGAACGGGAUUAGAUACCCCGGUAGUCCUGGCCCUAAACGAUGGAUACUAGGUGUGGGGAGUCUCGACACUUUCCGCGCCGGAGCAAACGCAUUAAGUAUCCCGCCUGGGGAGUACGGCCGCAAGGUUAAA
rnacentral:rRNA from 1 species